rnacentral:rRNA from 1 species
CUGGAGACUCCUACGGGAGGCAGCAGUGGGGAAUUUUGGACAAUGGGCGCAAGCCUGAUCCAGCCAUGCCGCGUGUCUGAAGAAGGCCUUCGGGUUGUAAAGGACUUUUGUCAGGGAAGAAAAGGCUGUUGCUAAUAUCGACAGCUGGUGACGGUACCUGAAGAAUAAGCACCGGCUAACUACGUGCCAGCAGCCGCGGUAAUACGUAGGGUGCGAGCGUUAAUCGGAAUUACUGGGCGUAAAGCGAGCGCAGACGGUUACUUAAGCAGGAUGUGAAAUCCCCGGGCUCAACCUGGGAACUGCGUUCUUAACUGGGUGACUGGAGUGUGUCAGAGGGAGGUAAAAUUCCACGUGUAGCAGUGAAAUGCGUAGAGAUGUGGAGGAAUACCGAUGGCGAAGGCAGCCUCCGGGGAUAACACUGACGUUCAUGCUCGAAAGCGUGGGUAGCAAACAGGAUUAGAUACCCCUGAAGUCCUAUC